rnacentral:hammerhead_ribozyme from 1 species
AUUCAGCUGACGACUCUCAAGUAGGACGAAACACACGUCCUGGAU